UACGAAGGGGGCUAGCGUUGCUCGGAAUGACUGGGCGUAAAGGGCGCGUAGGCGGAGUGCUUUGUCGGGCGUGAAAUUCCAGGGCUCAACCUUGGGUCUGCGUUCGAGACGGGUGCUCUUGAGUGGGGAAGAGGGUCGUGGAAUUCCCAGUGUAGAGGUGAAAUUCGUAGAUAUUGGGAAGAACACCGGUGGCGAAGGCGGCGACCUGGUCCUUUUACUGACGCUGAGGCGCGAAAGCGUGGGGAGCAAACAGG
rnacentral:rRNA from 1 species